rnacentral:ncRNA from 1 species
AAAAAGUUUUAUUUUGGCUUAAAUAAUAAGUGUUUAUUUUUUUUACAUGUAAAUUUUAGUAAGGUUUAUUAUAAUUUUUAAAAGGUUAUGAAUAUUUUAAUUAACUCUCAGUAUUUUAUAUUAAGAAUUAAGGAAACUUAGACUUAGAAAUUUAUUUAAAUAUUAACAUAAUUUGUGCCAGCAGUUGCGGUUAUACAAAUAAUAUUAUUUAUUAUUAUUAAUUUAUAAUUAAUUGAAAUUUAUUAAUUUGAAUAUAUAAAUUUAUUAAGUGAAAUUUUAAAUUAUAUUUAAUUUUUAUAAAAUUUUAUGAAGUUAUUAAAUUUUAUUUAAAACUAGGAUUAGAUACCCUAUUAUAAAAAUGUAAAUAGUGAAAAUUAAAUUAUUAAUAGUUAUAGUCUUUAAAGUUAAAAAAUUUGGCGGUAUUUUAAUCUAUUCAGAGGAACCUGUCCUGUAAUUGAUAUUCCACGAUUAAAUUUACUUAAUUUAAAAAUUUGUAUAUCGUCGUAGUUGAAUAUUUUAAUAGAAUAAUAAUAUUCAAAAUGUUUAUUUAAAAUAAAAAUCAGAUCAAGAUGCAGUUUAUAGUUAAGAAGAGAUGGGUUACAAUAAAAUUAUUUUUGGAUUUUAUUUUGAAAAAAUAUAUGAAAAUGGAUUUGAUUGUAAUUAAAUUUAUAUAAGUUUAAUGAUUAAAGCGCUAAAAUAUGUACAUAUCGCCCGUCGCUCUCAUUUAAAUUGAGAUAAGUCGUAACAUAGUAAAUGUACUGGAAAGUGUAUUUAGUUUG